rnacentral:lncRNA from 1 species
CAUAACGGUCAGCGCUCGCGAAUUUUUAGUCCGUAGAUCGGAAAUCGUAAUCUCAGUAGUAUAAAUUUAUAAUAUUUUGUUCGAGACUUUUAUUUAAAAUGUUUAUUUCGUUUUUCAGUUACCUACCUUAUAAGAUCUACAGCUUAAAAAUAAUACGUCAUACGAUUUAAAUACAACGAACUUUAGUUUGAAACAUUCAAGUUUAGGUAGGUAAUUCGUUUUCUGUUAGAUAAUGUAGUACCUAGCACUUGAAAGUAAUCAUUAUACGAUUUAAUUAUUUAAAUACAACAAAUGGUACACCAACAUGAACGGCUCAUUCUAUUCUGAAUUUAUAAAUAUGAAUUCCUUCAAACAACAAAUGUGUGCGAUAAUAAUUCACUCCAAUUACACAGUGAUUUAGCAAAUGAGAGAGUAGAUGAAUGACUGUGGCUGAGACUGCCUCAAAAGAGACUACCCAGAUGUACAAUGAUGACCUAGAAUUAUCUCAUGUGCCUUUAUAUCAGAAUUAUCAAGAUGUGAUAAAUUAUUCUCCUGAAGCUGCUUGUCACAUAAGGGAGAGUGACAUUUGAUUCCAGAACAGAAGAUAUAUCUGUGGAUUUUGUGAUUGUUUCUUCAUCCAAAGCCAAAACACCAAUGAGCAGAGAUUGUUUAAGAUAAAGCUGUUAUUUGUCUGACUGAAAUGGAAGUACUGCACACACGAACUGAAUUGGACGAAUCUUUGACAAUAAAUAUGUACCUCUUUCAAUUUGUAAAUUAUUAUUCAUCAAUAAUUUAUACAGCUUUUUUGAAAGGCAAAAAUGUUGGUUAUCUUGCUAAAUAUUUGCAUAUAGUUAUAUUCAAUCUUUGCCGAGAAGAAUGUAUUUCAGAUGGAUCUCUCAUGGAAUUAAGUAUCAAAUUGUUUAUUAUAAUGGUUGGGCAACAAUCAUCAAAGACUGUAUUGUAUUGGUUUUUUAGUUAAAGCCAAAAACUAAAACUGUUUAUAUUUAAGUCUGGGUUGAAAUUGACUGAGAACACAGGUCUCUUAGAUAAUUUGAAAUCAUCAUCCGGAGAAGAAAAUUUGGCCACA